GACGAACGCUGGCGGCGUGCUUAACACAUGCAAGUCGAACGGAAAGGCCCUGCUUUUGUGGGGUGCUCGAGUGGCGAACGGGUGAGUAACACGUGAGUAACCUGCCCUUGACUUUGGGAUAACUUCAGGAAACUGGGGCUAAUACCGGAUAGGAGCUCCUGCUGCAUGGUGGGGGUUGGAAAGUUUCGGCGGUUGGGGAUGGACUCGCGGCUUAUCAGCUUGUUGGUGGGGUAGUGGCUUACCAAGGCUUUGACGGGUAGCCGGCCUGAGAGGGUGACCGGCCACAUUGGGAAUGAGAUACGGCCCAGACUCCUACGGGAGGCAGCAGUGGGGAAUAUUGCACAAUGGGCGGAAGACUGAUGCAGCAACGCCGCGUGCGGGAUGACGGCCUUCGGGUUGUAAACCGCUUUCGCCUGUGACGAAGCGUGAGUGACGGUAAUGUGUAGAGAAGCACCGGCUAACUACGUG
rnacentral:rRNA from 1 species